UGUAUCUAUGAUUCAUGGUGAACUAGAUUUAUCUUAGAAUUUCACUUCUUCCUUUAAGAUGCAGGUCAACCUUUAAUUCAACAAUCCAUCAGAUAAAUGAUAAUCCAACAAAUAAAGAUGACCUGUUUAUAUUCUGUCACAUACUACCAAAAAGACGAACCUUUACAAACUCAAACAACAAAGAUAAAAGUGUCACAGAAUUUCCUGUCCCUUGUACCCAAAAAAAGCUAUGCAACAUUUACUUCUUGUUUUUAGCCUUCAAUUCUGUAGGAUUUGCGUCUGCAGCAGCCUUAGCAAGAGUUGUGGGUUUGAAGACACUCUUUGGAUUAAGAGCGUUUCUUAUCUUGAAAACAGUCCAAGCAGUGCAAAAGGCAUGUCCUGCAGCAUCUAGUCCUUCAUUUGUUGCCUUCGCUGCCUGUUCGCCAUAUCUACAAUACAUCAUCCAAUCAAACAAUCAACUACGAACGAUUAUGCAAACGUUGACAACUGAAUUCAAAAGAUAUAUUUUCCUAGAAUUAUGAGUUUAAAUCAAUCUCAGAGAUUGGUGUAUAUCUCUAUAUAAUCCCCUUGUUUUGCCCUCCCGAAACGUGUUUUUGGGUUGGAUGUGAACCUAUCUGACUCUGCUGUAUUGCUGUUUAUGUGAAUUCCAAUAAAGGUCACAAAGCAGGGUAAAAUUUAAGGUAAGGUUCUCUCUAUAACCCAGUGCGGGAUAGAUUCUCAAAUUAGUGGAACAAGACAUGACUCAAAAUCACUAGCAACUUCACAGAAAGGCGAUGUUCCACUACGGACAAACAUUAUCAACAUAAAGCUAAAUUCCACCUAGCCCAACAAAAUGAUAUCCAUUUUUGAAUGAACACACUAACAAUGGUGAAGAUGCUAUAGAGUCGAAUUGAGAUAUACCUCUGUGAGACGAGGCCUGUUGUCACUACUGAUGACGUUGACAUGACAUUCUUUCCAGCAACCUCAACAGCAUCACAGACCUUGUUAAAUCCUUCCAAAGAAGCAAGCACAAUUUCUCCAGGCAACAUGCUAAAAAAUUUCUUUCCAGCUUUAGAGUUGACAAUUGCACUUGUAACGAAUCCUGAGAUUUUCACAACCCCUGUAAGGAUUCCAGUGGCCACUUCCUCGGACAUUCUUGUUAACCUCUUAACCCUUUUGAUUCUCCUCAUUGCUGCUGGGCUAAUCUCCGUAUCUGAUCUCUCUCCCAUCCUAUUCUUCAAGAACUCAUUUCCCCACUUCAAUCUAUCCACAGUCACAUCCCCACACCACAAUAUCCCCUUAAUCAGCUGCCCAGACCCAGCUGCUAUCAUCCUCGAGACAGACCCACUAUAAUCCUCUACAUUUGGAGCCAAUACAGUCCAAUAUGCCGCCGAACACUCCUCCAACUCUUUCUUCUUCUCCUUCGUCUUUAACUCCUCCGGCGAUAUCCCCCUCGCCGUUUUCCAUUCUAUCAACUGCCAGUCCCCUCUCUCAUUCACUUCUUGCACAGUGAAAGAACUAUAAGACUCCAAUAUAUUAUCGAAUUCCUUCAAUAAAGCCUCCUGUCCUUUCGACGCAAUUGUAACUCCAUAAUUCAAUAACUCCAUUUCCACCUCAUUUUCAACCUCACUCUCAUCUUUACCUUCAUUCACCCCUUUUUCAUUUCCAGGAACGCGAAGAUUAAAGAAGUAAUGGGAUUCAUCGAGUUUCACAGAUGCCUCAUCUUUGGCCAAAGGCCACUGAAUAUCAUCUCCAACACGAGCAAGAACAGCAACUACGGUAUCACCCUGUUUGAGACAGACGAUUGUGAGGUCACCACAAGCGAGCUGAAUGCUACGGUCUUUCUCAAUCAGAUGGACGAAUGCACCUGGGAUGGUGAUGAGAGGUUCUUCAUAAGGUUGAGAGUUCGCAGACAGCAAACCGGCGUCGUAUUCAGGAAGGAGGUUCUCGGCCUCUUCUUCCAUGUCAAUAGAAGGGUACAAAGAAGAAGAGGAAGUUGAAGUAGCAGAAAUGGCUUCUGGGUUUGAGAGUUCGACUUUUGGGUAGAGAGAAUUGGGAGAAGACAUUUUUCUGAAGUUGAUUUGCAGAGAAGGAUUAAUAUUUGGACAAUUUCCUUAAGAUUGAAGA
rnacentral:misc_RNA from 1 species